rnacentral:lncRNA from 1 species
AGGAGGCCAUGCUGGCAAUCCGCGUGCCUGCAAUAGGACAGUCCGAAUUUUUUCUUGCGGUCAUAGAUGGUCCGGAUCCGUUCUCUCCUUAGGCGCGAUCGUACGGUCUAGAUUCAUUUUCUAUUUAAACGUGAUGAAUGGCCUAGAUUAAAGGGAGAUGGAUAUAAAUACCUCACUUCACACCAAACCCUAACCCUAGCUGCCAACCCUCGUUAGAGAAGAAGAACCAGUCGUUAGAGAAGGGAGCCGAACGCCGCCUGCCGCUGCACUGGAGCCACCUCUGACCGCCAAAAAAAGUAAAAAAUUUCUCAUUCGCUCAAAAUUUGAAUUUGAACACCUCCAUGGCCAAAUUGGAGCAAAAGGACCGACGAAUGAGUCAGAAACCACGGGUAAAGCUGGGCGGCACUGCUGCAGGAAAAAUCAAAAACUGCCUCCAAUGAGGCCCUUUCCAAUUCCUAUUUUGUUAGAUUUUUCCAUCAUUUUGUUCACCAUUAUGUUUUUCACAGGUUGAUCG